rnacentral:rRNA from 1 species
CCUACGGGAGGCAGCAGUGAGGAAUAUUGGUCAAUGGACGAGAGUCUGAACCAGCCAAGUAGCGUGAAGGAUGAAUGCCCUAUGGGUUGUAAACUUCGUUUAUAGGGGAAUAAAAUGGACCACGUGUGGGAUUUUGUAUGUACCAUAUGAAUAAGGAUAGGCUAACUCCGUGCCAGCAGCCGCGGUAAUACGGAGGAUCCGAGCGUUAUCCGGAUUUAUUGGGUUUAAAGGGAGCGUAGGUGGCUUGUUCAGGCAGUUGGGACAGUUUGCGGCUCCACCGGAAAAUUGCAGUUGAAACGGGCAGUCUUGAGUACAGUAGAGGUGGGCGGAAUUCGUGGUGUAGCGG